rnacentral:lncRNA from 10 species
AAAGUGAUACAAACCCUUAAUAUGGUAGCUCCCAAACUUGCUCCAUUAUAAAUAUCACCAAAGGAGUUUUUGAAAAACAGAGAUGCUGAUGUUCUACUUCAAACCUCCUUAAUCAGGGACUGCUGAUUUUGCUUUUUUCAGCAAUUACCAAAUGGGAGGCUCUGCAACAGCAUAUUCUACAAAGAAAAAGAUAAAUGAACAGAAUUCACUCUAAGAUUCACCAUGGAUGUUUACUAGUCAACUUGAUGUCCCAAACCAUCUGCCUAUCUAACACAGCUGAUCUUAAGUUCGUGCUUCACAGCUAUUGGAUGCCCCUUAACCAAGGACUUAGGGCUCAAAUAUUUGAAGAACACUGGAGUCAGGAGACCAGGAUUUCAGAUCUGACUGACACUAACUAGGCUCACCUGGGAGAAACCAGAUGCUCUGUAGGAAAUGCAACGGUCCUGCAAACACCAUGCUAUGGGAAGCCCAAGCCAUGUGCAGAGGCCCUGGAGGAAGAGAUUCAUUGUGUCGAGCAAGAGACCACAUGCAUGAGGAAGCCAUCUUAGAAAUGGAUCCUUCAUCCCACCCAUUUCAGGAGAUUCAGCUUUGACUAGGAAGGCAAAGGCCACACUACAGGGCUGUGGUUCUCAAAGUGUGAUGUCCAAACCAUCAACAUCAACGUCACAAGAGAACCUGUUAGAAAUGCAAAUUCAUCGGUCCCAUCCAAGACUUAUAGAAUCAGAAACUCCAGGUGGGCUCAGAAAGCCCUCCAGGUGAUUAUGAUGCCCGAAAGCAGAGACUGGCAAACUGCAGCCAAUGGACCAAAACCACUGGGUGGCUCGAUUUUGUACAACAAUGAGCUAAGAAUGGGUUUUACAUUUGCGAACAGUUGCAACAAAAAGUAACAAAGCCAAAGAAGAAUAUGUAAUUGAGACUUAUGUGGCUGGUAAAGACUAAAAUUUCACCUUAUGGCCUUUUACAGAAAGUUUGCCAACCUCCGCAUUCAAGUUGAGAACUAUUGCCAUAAAGGCUUGCUCAGUAAAAGGAACUUAGAUCCCUGAAUAACUUAGUGGAGCAGAAGUGCUCUGUCAGUUUGGCCUGCUCACUCCAAAACUGCUAGAGAGAAAAAUAAACUCCUAGGCCGUGUAAGCCUCCAUACACGGGGCCUCUGUUACGGCAGCUGAGCCCAAAUCCUGACCAAUGUAAGAGGUUAAGAAGGAGCUGCUAUACUACACGUUGAUCUCUCUUCCCACACCUUAUUGUCAGCUCAUGGUCUGAAGUUUGCUUUUAGUUUCCAUCAUUACAUGUCUCCUGAUUACUCUCUUUAAAGGUACAGAUAUUGGAUUCAUCUAAUAGUUCUCCAUAAUUUUGAGCCCUAGAGGCUUUAGAACACUUACUGGAACUUCAUAAAUUGAAUCUAUCCAGGUGUUCCAUGGAAAGCCCAAGGCUCUCAGGAACUGAAGCCCAAAGUGCUUAGUCAUCCAAGAUAUAUAUUACCUUACAGAGGAAGAAACUGGAACAUUUGUUCACACUGCAGAAGAGCCCCUUUCUCUGCUGCCGUUGCUGCCAUCAACAGUAAACACUAGAAGUUUAGGAGCUGAAACCCCAUUGAUUGGCAGACUGCUCUGUCAAGACUGUGGAAUCAAUGGUAGUUUCUCAACAUGUGCUUUGGAGAAGAAGGGAAGACAACUUAUCUGAGGUUCUCUAUAUUCCAGGAGGCCUGAACCUCUGGGAUUGGAUCCCCAGGUGAGCAGCUGACUCAGUUCUCACACCUGCUGCCCUGCCCUCAUUCUGGAGUGACUGUCAGAAGGGGAUUGAGCCUCAGCCACCUGGCCUAGGGCUAGUCCUCCUCUCCAACAACCCAGAUCCUGGAGUUGUGUGCCUAGUUUUGGACUCUCCUUUCCAUCAAAUGACUUUCCCUCUAGAAAGUCCUUUCGUCUCUCCUGCAGGCAGCAUCUGUUGGAUUCACCCUAGUCCAGGAUUAAUCUAUGGCCAGAGGGC